rnacentral:rRNA from 1 species
CUACGUAGGGGGCGAGCGUUGUCCGGAAUGAUUGGGCGUAAAGGGCGCGUAGGCGGCCUUGCAAGUCAGUAGUGGAAGUCCAUUUUUCAAGGAUGGAAGUGCAUCUGAAACUGGUACACUUGAGUGCUGGAGGGGAAAGCGGAAUUCCUAGUGUAGCGGUAAAAUGCGUAGAUAUUAGGAGGAACACCGGUGGCGAAGGCGGCUAUCUGGACAGUAACUGACGCUGAGGCGCGAAAGCACGGGGAGCAAACAGGAUUAGAUACCCUGGUAGUCCGUGCCGUAAACGAUGAAUACUAGGUGUAGGGGGUAUCGACUCCCUCUGUGCCGCAGUUAACACAUUAAGUAUUCCACCUGGGGAGUACGGCCGCAAGGUUGAAACUCAAAUGAAUUGACGGGG